rnacentral:rRNA from 1 species
CCUACGGGUGGCAGCAGUGAGGAAUAUUGGUCAAUGGACGAGAGUCUGAACCAGCCAAGUAGCGUGAAGGAUGACUGUCCUAUGGGUUGUAAACUUCUUUUAUAUGGGAAUAAAACGUUCCACGUGUGGGAUUUUGUAUGUACCAUAUGAAUAAGGAUCGGCUAACUCCGUGCCAGCAGCCGCGGUAAUACGGAGGAUCCGAGCGUUAUCCGGAUUUAUUGGGUUUAAAGGGAGCGUAGGUGGAUUGUUAAGUCAGUUGUGAAAGUUUGCGGCUCAACCGUAAAAUUGCAGUUGAAACUGGCAGUCUUGAGUACAGUAGAGGUGGGCGGAAUUCGUGGUGUAGCGGUGAAAUGCUUAGAUAUCACGAAGAACUCCGAUUGCGAAGGCAGUUCACUGGACUACAACUGACACUGAGGCUCGAAAGUGUGGGUAUCAAACAGGAUUAGAUACCCGUGUAGUC